GACGAACGCUGGCGGCGUGCCUAAUACAUGCAAGUAGAACGCACAGUUUAUACCGUAGCUUGCUACACCAUAGACUGUGAGUUGCGAACGGGUGAGUAACGCGUAGGUAACCCGCCUGGUAGCGGGGGAUAACUAUUGGAAACGAUAGCUAAUACCGCAUAAUAUUGAUUAUUGCAUGAUAAUUGAUUGAAAGAUGCUAUUGCAUCACUACCAGAUGGACCUGCGUUGUAUUAGCUAGUAGGUGAGGUAACGGCUCACCUAGGCGACGAUACAUAGCCGACCUGAGAGGGUGAUCGGCCACACUGGGACUGAGACACGGCCCAGACUCCUACGGGAGGCAGCAGUAGGGAAUCUUCGGCAAUGGACGAAAGUCUGACCGAGCAACGCCGCGUGAGUGAAGAAGGUUGUCGGAUCGUAAAGCUCUGUUGUAAGAGAAGAACGGGUGUGAGAGUGGAAAGUUCACACUGUGACGGUAUCUUACCAGAAAGGGACGGCUAACUACGUG
rnacentral:rRNA from 1 species